rnacentral:lncRNA from 1 species
AAUUACUAUAAUGUGUAAUUUUUUUCUUGUCUAAUAUUUUCUUACAGUUAGGUAUAAAGGGUAUAAUAGUAAUAUCAUUAUUUUUUUUGGUUGACAAAUAUGAUUCUAUUAAUAUGUAGUUUAUUUUAUAUAUUUAUUUGUGUCUAUAUAUAUGAGUAGAGAAUCUAUUUCCUAUGUUCUCUCAAAGAGGAAUUAUUAGAUGUUA